CUUGCACCCGCUAAACUUGAACGCAGACUACGAAUGCAGGUACUGAACAGAUACACAGUGGUCUAGUAUGGCAGCACUUUCCUGGUGGCCCUCAGCUUUUACAGAAUUUAUGCAAAACCCAGACUAAAAGGAUGAAAUUAUUUUUUCAGGUAAAAAAUAGAACCUUUAAGUGUAUACUGAUGCCACACGAUCCUGGUCAACUCUGAGAAAAGUAUACUGUACAUCCAACUACUCAGAGUGGAGCUGGUGCAAAUGCAAUAGGGAGGACUUUGCCAUGUAAACAUCAUCACCUUGGCAAUUAUCUGGCCACCACGAACGCUUGCACAUCAGUAGUACAGCUAUCCCAUGGAGUAUCCAAGCUGGCAUGUGUGCUCUUGGAGGGGAAAGAGCACAUGCCGAAUCACCUCCCCCUCUUGGCUUAAGGACUCCACGUGUAUCCCUGGGGUGACAGAAGCCAAAAGCGAAUGGACUUCCUCUCGAGUGACACGUUAGCCAAGGUCUCCAUGUCAGUUAGCCAACUUGAGGUAAAAUCCUGUCCAAGAUAAGGUAACUUGUAGUCUUCACGUUAGCAAAGGAGCAGAACAAAUUGAUCAGAUAACUGAAAAUAGGAAUAUAUCCUUUCUCCAUUUAAAUCUUUCCAAUUUAUAUUGUUUCUGUCCUUACAUAGGAGGAUAAGGGGCCUACUUAGAGACUCUAAACAAACUAGCUGAUAAAACCACAGUGUUACAUCACUGCAAGACUGUCACCCCCUGUGACAGGGAUAGGUCUGACAGCGCUUAAAGUGGUCAAGUGUGUAUCAAAUUGCAUGUAGGCUAACUGCAGUUUCCAGGCCCAGCAGAGGACAAAUGAAGUUUACUAUAUCAGCCAAGUAAUAGAAUCAAUAUUUAUGCAGGAAUGAAGCUGAAAGUACAAACAAGGCCAGUGACUAAACUUUUAUGGCAAUUACAUUUAAUAGGGUACUGCAUAUUAUUUACAGAAAACAUUCAACACACAAUUCCUACACAUAAAAUGCAUCCAAAGUAUAAAGACAAAAGCUAUACUCCCAUUACAUGCUAAAUAAAAUAAAUAAAACAUAAUUAUUUUGGCACAAUAGCUAUUACAUAAAUAAAUAUUCCAGAACAUGAUGAUUUAACUUUUAUUUACAGUUUAUUGAAAGUGCAAAACAAUCGGCUGAAAAUUAAGAUAUUUGUAAAUGCUUAAGAUUAGAAAAUAUGUGUUAAAUGGCCACAAUUAAUUAUAGCUGAUGUUAAAGGUUUUGAUGUCCAGGAAAUUAUUCUCUUGAAAUCUGUUUGUGCAUAUUGUGCUCUUUUUGAACCAGUCUUUUGCUACCUUUAUGCUAUUGAUUUCAACAACCUUAUUCAUUUAUAAUGGAAUUUAGUUAAAACCUGAUCGAUAGUUUAAAAAAAGAAGUAACAUGUAAACACAAUUAAUCUAUUUAUCAUUCAAAACCUUUUCUGUCUUGUUAGUUCUCUGAGAUGGCCACACUGCUUGCAGUAGUAGACAGAAUGAUUAAGACUGGAAAUUCCUCUUAAUAUAUGCUGUAUUUUAAAGGGAAAUAUUUUUAAGCAUUCUUUGAACGGAGCUAUACCUUGGACCUCUCUUGAACCUACUAACAUACAUCUUCUACUGAGGUCAAUAGUAGCUGGGCAAGUAAAGCAGAUGGCCAAUUUUGGUCCUGAACUGGAGAAUAAAUCCUAAAAUACAGAGCUUUUAAUUAGAGGGAAAACCACUACCUCCUUGAGAACUGUCAGGCGUUUUUGGUGCAUGCUUUGCUAGCUAUUGUAUUUUGCCUUUUGCCUUUUUACUUUCACUAUGAGAAAUCAUUUAGUACACUUGAAAAGGAAUUAAGAGUACACAAUAUGGCCACCCUUACAGCUACAGUGUAUAAAUUCUUCAUCAGCCAAAGUUCUCUGACGGGCUGGUACAUUGUGCGUUGCCUAAGAUCUUAGAAUAUGUUUUUGCUUAUUUUUGUAGUGGCAGUGCAGUAGCAAAGGAAGUGAAGUUCUUAACAAGUGACCUUGACUGGA